GACGAACGCUGGCGGCGUGCCUAACACAUGCAAGUCGAGCGAAUGAAGUUCCUUCGGGAAUGGAUUUAGCGGCGGACGGGUGAGUAACACGUGGGCAACCUGCCUCAUAGAGGGGAAUAGCCUCCCGAAAGGGAGAUUAAUACCGCAUAAGAUUGUAGUACCGCAUGAUACAGCAAUUAAAGGAGCAAUCCGCUAUGAGAUGGGCCCGCGGCGCAUUAGCUAGUUGGUGAGGUAAUUGCUCACCAAGGCGACGAUGCGUAGCCGACCUGAGAGGGUGAUCGGCCACAUUGGGACUGAGACACGGCCCAGACUCCUACGGGAGGCAGCAGUGGGGAAUAUUGCACAAUGGGGGAAACCCUGAUGCAGCAACGCCGCGUGAGUGAUGACGGCCUUCGGGUUGUAAAGCUCUGUCUUCAGGGACGAUAAUGACGGUACCUGAGGAGGAAGCCACGGCUAACUACGUG
rnacentral:rRNA from 1 species